ACACAACUAUCUCAACUAAUAAUUUUAUUAGCCAAGAGACAUAUACAAUAUAUAUUUGAAAAUUUAAGAUUUAUUUAUAGCAAUCAAGCAAUGGCAAAUUUGGCACCGAGGUCCAUUGUGGUGGCACUUUUCCUCCUCGCAAUAGUUCUCUCCCCAGCAAUGCCAUGUGAGGCAACUCGACUGCCUCAGCGAGGUUGAUAAAUAAUUCUAUAAAUGCAUUUAUUACAUAUAAUUAAUUAGUCAAUCAAUUCAUUUUCCUUUAGCAUAAAUUAAGUUUUCUGAUUUGUAUAAUUAAUUAAUUAAUGAAUUAUAUAGUUGUUGAUUUGAAUUAAAUAUGCCCACAGAGCUACUUCAGGGAGGCCCCAUAUGUCCUGCUUGUGUGUGUUGUACACCUCCGCCACCGGGCAAAUGUUGUCGUCGUUGCUGUGCUAAUCCAUCUCCUACCAGUCUUCAAUCUCAGAUUAUUAAUAAUGUUUCACCGUGAGAAAUCGAUAUAUCAAUCUCAAUCUCAAUCUCAAUCUAAACCUAAUAAUCCGCACUUAAUUUCAUAUAAUUAAUUUUACUAUAUACACCAUUAAAUAAUAGGAAACUUAUAUUUUUCACAUCAUUUUUUUUGAUAUUUUCACAUGUAGGGCCACAUAUUAGUUGAUGUGUCAAAUUUUUAUUAGCUAAUAUGUGGGCCCUGCAUUUAGAAAUAUCAAAAAAUAAUGUGAAAAUAUCAAUUUUCUACUUGUGUCAUGUUAGCGUGAUAUCAUGUGAUUAGUUGAUAAAAGUUUAUUAUGUAAACUUUCAAGUAUUUGUUUUAUUACAACUUUAAUGUAAGUCGAAAUAAGCAUCAAUAAAAUUAUAUAUAUUAUGUUUUGUUACAACUUUAAUCUAC
rnacentral:lncRNA from 1 species